CGUAGGGUGCAAGCGUUGUCCGGAUUUAUUGGGUUUAAAGGGUGCGUAGGCGGCCCUGUAAGUCAGUGGUGAAAUACUCCAGCUUAACUGGAGGGGUGCCAUUGAUACUGCAGGGCUUGAGUUAAGUUGAAGUUGGCGGAAUUGACGGUGUAGCGGUGAAAUGCUUAGAUAUCGUCAAGAACACCGAUAGUGAAGACAGCUAACUAAACUUUUACUGACGCUGAGGCACGAAAGUGUGGGGAUCAAACAGGAUUAGAUACCCUGGUAGUCCACACUGUAAACGUUGAUUACUCGCUGUGUGCGAUAUACAGUACGCGGCCAAGCGAAAGCGAUAAGUAAUCCACCUGGGGAGUACGCCGGCAACGGUG
rnacentral:rRNA from 1 species